UACGUAGGGUGCAAGCGUUAUCCGGAUUUAUUGGGCGUAAAGGGCUCGUAAGCGGUUCGUCGCGUCCGGUGUGAAAGUCCAUCGCUUAACGGUGGAUCCGCGCCGGGUACGGGCGGGCUUGAGUGCGGUAGGGGAGACUGGAAUUCCCGGUGUAACGGUGGAAUGUGUAGAUAUCGGGAAGAACACCAAUGGCGAAGGCAGGUCUCUGGGCCGUUACUGACGCUGAGGAGCGAAAGCGUGGGGAGCGAACAGG
rnacentral:rRNA from 1 species